rnacentral:rRNA from 1 species
GACGAACGCUGGCGGCGUGCCUAAUACAUGCAAGUCGAGCGGACUUAAAAAGCUUGCUUUUUAAGUUAGCGGCGGACGGGUGAGUAACACGUGGGCAACCUGCCUGUAAGACUGGGAUAACUUCGGGAAACCGGAGCUAAUACCGGAUAAUCCUUUUCUACUCAUGUAGAAAAGCUGAAAGACGGUUUACGCUGUCACUUACAGAUGGGCCCGCGGCGCAUUAGCUAGUUGGUGAGGUAACGGCUCACCAAGGCGACGAUGCGUAGCCGACCUGAGAGGGUGAUCGGCCACACUGGGACUGAGACACGGCGCAGACUCCUACGGGAGGCAGCAGUAGGGAAUCUUCCGCAAUGGACGAAAGUCUGACGGAGCAACGCCGCGUGAGUGAUGAAGGUUUUCGGAUCGUAAAACUCUGUUGUUAGGGAAGAACAAGUACGAGAGUAACUGCUCGUACCUUGACGGUACCUAACCAGAAAGCCACGGCUAACUACGUG